AAGUCGUAACAAGGUUUCCGUAGGUGAACCUGCGGAAGGAUCAUUAUUGAAAUAAACCUGAUGGGUUGUUGCUGGUUCUAUAUGGAACAUGUGCACACUUGUCAUCUUUAUAUCUCCACCUGUGCACCUUGUGUAGACUCUGGAUAAAAAUUUCCAAAUGUGUUAAAAAGCAUUUGGGUGUUGAGGAUUGACUUUGCUGUCUUUCCUCUUUGUAUUUCCAGGUCUAUGUUUCUUCAAAUACCCCAAAUGUAUGUUAUAGAAUGUAAUCAAUGGGCCUUUGUGCCUAUAAACCUAUACAACUUUCAGCAACGGAUCUCUUGGUUCUC
rnacentral:misc_RNA from 1 species